GACCCAAUGGCACAGCGGUUAGUGUAUCUGUUGAAAAUGUGUGGUUGGUUUUCAUUCGAGUAAAGAGGAGUCCCUCGUUUGAACCGGGGUUGGGUCA